UUGCCGACCCAGUUUCCCGGUACAGCGUGAGUGGAUCACGCGCUGGAAGUCGAGCAGCGGCUAACCUGAAGAGAAACGUCAGAGUUCUGACGCAAGAUUUAAAUGACGUUCAAUUCACCUACGUCAAAUGUCAUCAAAGAAUGGAAGAUAAGAUAAGAUAAGAGUGCCGUCUGUUGCGAGAGAUAGUCAAGGAAGAUGCUGGAGAAUUGAUCCUCGGUGUGUGAGAGGAGAACAGUGGAAUGGUUUCAAACAAGCGGUGUCAGUUGACACUGGAAGUGAAAGAUGAUGAGGAAAGAUCAUGAUGAGGAAAGAUCAUGAUGAGGAUGGAGUACCUGCCUUUAAAACGACACUACUUCCUGUUCGUCUCUCGAUCUUGGUAUCAUCAGAAAGAAACGACUGGAAGUACGUCAUGAAAAUGUCUUCAUCAACAUCACAUGCAAGAGGGUCUGGGAAUCAAAUCGGUAUUAAGGAUGCCGUGGACGUGAUUUCAAUCCUCUAUGUCCGCAUGUUGGGCUAAGACUCGAAUCGUGACAUCACGAAUUAUCUGAUGCAUCGAAUUUUUUCUCUGGUUGAAAUAGAGGUGCAGAGAGCGGGAUUAUCGGUGUUUUACGCCGUCAGUAGCCCAGGAUUUCACGGCUCUGACAGCCAGGUAAAGACGUGCGACGUCAGGCCGUCUGCCGGAGGAGAGAUGUGAACCAACCACCCGGGGUAUGUCUGCUGAUAGACUGCACCACGGCAGACGUCCUGGAUCAUCACUACCUCGUUUGCAAGAAUGGAUGCCGCUUGACGAAGCUGCUUGAGCAAUUUUAUGAAGAGGGGAAAAAAUGCGUCGAUGAAAUAAGGCAGUGACUGACAUUGAACCGCGAUCACGUCGAUCCGAGGUGCGAGGGUCAAAGGUCAAGGGCCGCGACGAGAACCUCGUUGCUGUUUGAGAACAGAUGACGUACGAGGCAGCAGGGAGGGAGGCGGGGACCACGAGCUGCAGCUUAUCAUGAUGAUUCAGAAGCAGUACUGCCAUGAAGGGCAAAAAAAGUUCGGCACGUGUGAGAUAAGCCAGUGAAGCCAGUCAAUGGUACAGCGGUACAACUCGCCCAGCAAGGGCACUACGCCAGAUGACAACUUUCUCGAUGUACAUGCAUGUGGUGGCGGUGGUUGGUGCAGUUAUUCAUUCACAACUUGGCUGCAGACAAUGGCAACCACCAUAAACCACGUGAUAGCGCGUUCUCGCACGCAUGCGCAGUAAGAGCUAGCUUUGGGCGAGUCUGUGCGUCAUCUCUGUGUGGAUUCUUAAGUGGCCGACGGAGACUCGGCGAGUGCUGUCAAAAGUGUCUGCAGACGGAGCUGCCGAUGCGACAAUAUGCAAAGAUUUGAACUGUACAUCAAGGCAUCAGCAAUUGAUAAAGAAACUAAAGGCUCAUGCCCAAUCUGCCAGCAGUGGUUUAUGAUCACUGUUCUGCUUGGGGAAACCAGGAUGACAUUGAUUUCAAAGUGUACACAGUGCAGGCAGACUGUCCUCCCAAG
rnacentral:lncRNA from 1 species